CAUAGGCAAAUUCUGGCCCUCCAGAUGUUUGGGACUACAACUCCCCUAGCUAACAGGACCAGUGGUCAGGGAUGAUGGGAAUUGUAGUCCCCAAACAUCUGGAGGGCCAGAAUUUACCUAUG